CUUGCCAGCACAAGUUAUGUUCUGCCUGAGGGAGGCUGCCCUGCCUUGCCCCGCACGAAAGAGAAUGCAGCUAGCCUCAAGAAUGAAGAUAGAAAUUCACUUUGUCACUCAAGAAACAGCUAUUGAAUAUCGACUUUGUGCCAGGCGUCAUUACUGUUAGAACAAUGCCUGGCACACACUGGACAACAUUUCAAAUGUUGGUUGAAAGCACAAGAAUAAAUAAGCCAACAAAGUGCCCGCAUCAGCGCUGGAGAAUCGCUGCUUUUGUGCCAGCCCACGGGUAGACUCUGCCGGAUGACCAAGGUUUCUGGAUAUGACCAUAUGGCAGUGGGACUGGUGUCUGCAGGUCAGCAGGAGUCCUCCUGUGGGCCCGGCAGCCAGGUGCACGGCUCUGCUGUCAGUCCACCGCCCCGUCGGGUACGCAGCCUCCCCUCCUCUUACCGCGGCUCCUUUCCCUGAAGCGCCUUUAGUCUCCCCCUUUCCACUCCUAAUCCUCUCCUACCAGGGGCUACUUUCCCUUACAUUCUUCUCCCCUUAAAUUCGUAUCUCAUUUUUCAACCCUGUUUCUCACACCAAGAUUCCCAGGGGCAGGCAGGUGAUGGCACCUGCCUUCCUGUCCCACGCCUUCCCUCACCUGUAGGGGUCCCAGCCCCUGGCCAAGGCCCUGUUCCUGAAUUCCAGGCUCUUCAAUGUCUCUGCAGCACGUGGCAAUGUUGAAUUCCUUCCCUCCCUCCCCCAUCCUCCCUCCCUCCCCCAUCCUCCCUCCUUGCCUCCCUCCCUCCCACACUUCUGUGUCUAGCUUCUUUCUUACCUCUUUGAUCUCACUUUCUACUCUCUCCUUCCUGCCUCCUGCAGAAUGGGUGCUUCCAAGGGGUUGGAUUGUAACCUUCUGAUCUUCCCUUCCUCAACCCUCUGCCCACCUCCAGCAUUAUGGUUUUAUUCAUUCAUUUACUCAAAUGUCUUUAUAUUUAUGGGGUUUAACAGUAGGUAGGACCAUUUACUAGGAAUGUCAAGUCCUGCCAUGUCCCAGAUCCUUUUCUAGGCCCUGGACCUAGUGGGAACAGGACCAGGGCCCUGUUCUCCAGAGGGAGGCAGACAGUGAACAAGUAAACAGACAUAUCACAACUGCAGAUGGUGGUAGGUGUUAAAAGGUAAGUAAAAGAGGCUGAUGGGGACAGAGUGGGGGCACUGCUGCCCUGUCUUAGUGGUCAGGGCAGGCUCCUCUUGGAGGUGACACGUGACCUGAUCCUGAGUGACAAGGAAGACAUCCGCAUCUUUGGCAGAAGCGUAUUCAGGGUGUGGAGCUGAGAUGUCAGUGAUGUCUAUACAGAUGACUAUGAACUCAGGGCCACAGUUCAUGACUUCUUUUAAAUUGAAGUACAGAUGACUCACAAUAUUUUAUUGGUUUCAGGUGGACAACAUAGUGAUUUGAGAAUUAUGCACAUUAUGCAAUGCCCACCACGCAGAGCAUGGUGGCUUAAAGUGUACACUCUGAAGACAAUCUCAGGGUUUGAAUCCCAAGUCUGUCCCAGAGUGGUCCCAUGAUCUCUAGGGUUCCAGUUCCUCAUUGAUGAACUGUUGAUGAUAAAAGGAUCCAUCUCCAGUGUUGCCACAAGGUUUAAAUGAGUGAAUGCACAUAAGCAUGUGGCACUCUGGGACCACAGGUGAGAAGUGGGAUUUCGACCUCAAGGAGCAACGGACCUAAAGAGACGAUUACAAUCCAACAUGAUGUGAGCAGGAAACACGUACUGGGGACUCCCUAAAAUUUUACAUGAGGGCAUCACCUCAUGUUUGCCCAAUGUCAGACAGGUACUCUGAUCAUCCCUAUUUAACGAAGUAGCAGUUGAUGGCUGGACAAUGAAUGAGCCCCAUGGAAGAAAACUCUGUCUGACUCCAAAGCCUGCAUUCUUAACAUUCAACCAAAAUUGCUCUGAUGAAGGGGAGCGUGUGGUGUGCUGGAAGAGCGAAUGGAGGAAGGAAGGUUUGGAGGGAGACACGGCAAGCAUCACAGGGUGCUGACAGCAUCCCAUGAAUGGGGAUGUAGGUAGAGAAGCAGGAAGCACAUUCCGGGAAGAAGUGAGAGCAAAUGCAAAGCCGUGUAGUAUGAAAGCCCAGGGGACACCAGGAGCAUCUGGGGUUCUGCGUGCUGGAACAGGAUGAUGGGGUGUGGAGUAAGGCUGAGGAGUAAAGGGCCAGAAUGUAUGCCUCUCUGCACUCCAGCUCUUCCGUAUAGCGGGUGGUCUAGUGUACAGUAGAUGCCCUCUCUCCUUGCUUGGUGAUUAGGACAGAAUGGGGCACAUUGUUUUUUUAUGCAGUGUUGACCAGUAUUUUCAUACAGAGGAUGCAUUAUCAUGACAACUACUCUACCUUCACCCUAAGUUGACAGCCAGGCCUUUGAUGAACAAAUGCUGAACUUCAGAAGGAAACAGCCUCAUAUACCCCAAACGCAGCACAUCACAAUCAUGACAAUUGCACAACGGGCGUACAUGCAAGUCAUUUUAGUGCAGCCCGCUGAAGUGAAGGCUUUUAGUAUUCACGCUGAUGGCUUGUUGUGAGCCUUGCCUAAGGAUGCUGUGAGGGGCAUUUUUUUCUUGAAAUAAUUUUGGAACCAGUGUUUCUGAGUCUGUGUAGAGUCUCUUUAGUCGGACUGCACAGAUUCAGGAUCUGCAGGCUCAGUCUUGCAGAUUAAGUCUUCCCUGAGAAGACAGUGAUGUUUUUUCAUUCCUAAAAGCAGGGCUUAGCUGAAGCUUAGAGGAACAUUUUAUUUUUUUUCUACCAGAGCAGAAGUCAAACUCUGACGUUUACUAGACAUGUGGCUUUGGAGAAGUCUCUUAUCUGUUUCUUAUCUCAGUUUCCUUAUCUGUACAAUGAGAACAAUGGUAUUAAUAUGAGUAUUGUUACUAUUAUAAAUAAUACAUCAUUGGAUCAUUAUGAAGGUUAUAAAAUUAAUACAUGCUUCUUGUAGAAGAGUGCCAGGCUCACCGUGAGCAGCCCUGAAUUAUGUGUUCCUUGCAUUAGGGAGGCUUCACUGAAAGCAGGAGUGAAAUCAAGGCUUUGUUCUGCUCACUAAGGCCAGAGCCACGCAGACGGGCCCCAUUGCUAUUUGGCACAAAGGCACAGGAUGGGUUAGCAGCAGUCCUGCUGGAGAGGCACUGAAUUUGCCCUCAUCUACUCACACGGCUUUGCUCUCUUCAUUUUGUGACUAUUGAGAAAUAUUUGUGAAAUAGAUACACUGAAAAGCUGCAUUCGAUUGGUUAUUGGUUAUAAAACAUCUCCAAUCUUGCCAUUCAUGUUUUUAACACCCCUAGCUUUAUUAGAACAUUUGGCCAAGAAACACUUGGGGAAACAGUCUCUCUUGAUUAUUCUUUGCAGCGUCCCUGGUCCUCCUCUCCAUGCACCUACAAGCACACUGAUGGCGCCUCACAAGGCUGCUACGGCGUAUACAAUCACGGGGCAUGCUGGGUUCCUCCCAUCCCUCUCAGAAAAGCUUGAGACAUACUGACGAUGCAAGCCAAGCUUACCUAGCAAUUUCUCCAUUGAUGUGAACUAACAUUCACUGUGACUGCAUGGGAGCCCACACAUAUCUCCACAUUCUCCACAACAGCAAUUUCCAAAGAAACAAUAGCCCAAACAAACAAUAGCACCUGGACAACAUGGGGGGUUGGCCUUAGAGGUCAAACUGGACUGGGAAGCUUCUGUUACUCGACUAUCAAGAACAACUAAUAAAUGCCUGAUUUUUAUUUAGAGGAGCAGCAAAUAACAUUGAUGGAGUCCUUGAUUUGGGAUCAGAAAGCUGAGCUUGACGUUUGGCUCUGGGUGACCUUGAGCAAAUGCACCAAAUUCCUCCCUCAGCACUGAAAUGGGCCUUAGUGGUCAAGAUGCACAUACUGAGGUGGAGAGUUUAAGGGUCUUGCCAAACAUGACUAAGUUCACA